rnacentral:misc_RNA from 1 species
CUUUAGUAUAUCUGCUAUUGGGGUAAAUAAUCAUUUAUUUAUACCAAUAAUUUCAGAAUAACCAGGAUGCUGUUAUUCUUGCUGCGGAUUUUUAGCAUACAUUUUGUAUAUAAGGUGUACGUUGAUAGGGAGUUUCAUUUAUCCAGCUGGAUACCACCUCCCACAAUUCAACUUCUAUAUAAGACACCUUUUCGAAUGCAAUUAUACACGUUAGUUAUCGAUGGAAUCUAAUAAGUGCAGAAAUAAUCGUAAGACACUUAAUCACAAUUAGAGCAUCUAACAGCGCCUUAAUUUAAACAGCCGAGAGGUUGAUUAUCUACAGACACAAGGCCUGAU